GAUGAAGAACGUAGCGAAAUGCGAUAAGUAGUGUGAAUUGCAGAAUUCAGUGAAUCAUCGAAUCUUUGAACGCACAUUGCGCCCGCCAGUAUUCUGGCGGGCAUGCCUGUUCGAGCGUCAUUUCAACCCUCAGGCCCCCAGUGCCUGGCGUUGGGGAUCGGCGUGGGCGGCGACGGCUCUCCGGAGCCCGAGCCAAUGCCUGCCGGCCCCGAAAUUCAGUGGCGGUCUCGCUGUAGUCCCCCUCUGCGUAGUAGCACAACUCGCAUUGGAGCUCGGCGGUGGCCAUGCCGUAAAACACCCCACUUCUGAAAGUUGACCUCGGAUCAGGUAGGAAUACCCGCUGAACUUAAGCAUAUCAUAAGCGGAGGA
rnacentral:misc_RNA from 1 species